UACGAAGGGGGCUAGCGUUGCUCGGAAUCACUGGGCGUAAAGGGCGCGUAGGCGGCCAUUCAAGUCGGGGGUGAAAGCCUGUGGCUCAACCACAGAAUUGCCUUCGAUACUGUUUGGCUUGAGUUUGGUAGAGGUUGGUGGAACUGCGAGUGUAGAGGUGAAAUUCGUAGAUAUUCGGCAAGAACACCGGUGGCGAAGGCGGCCAACUGGACCAAUACUGGACGCUGAGGCGCGAAAGCCGUGGGGAGCAAACAGG
rnacentral:rRNA from 1 species